GACAGAGGCCCCGAGCGUUAGGCGGAAUCACUGGGCUUAAAGCGCGUGUAGGCGGCGGGCUAAGUACCUUGUGAAAUCCCCGGGCUCAACCCGGGAACUGCUCGGUAUACUGGCCUUCUUGAGGCAUCUAGGGGCGAGCGGAACAAACGGUGGAGCGGUGAAAUGCGUAGAUAUCGUUUGGAACGCCAACGGAGAAAUCAGCUCGCUGGGGAUGUCCUGACGCUGAGACGCGAAAGCCAGGGGAGCAAACGGG
rnacentral:rRNA from 1 species